AGGUAGUUUUGGAGCUGUUUACUAUGCAGAGCUUAGAGGAGAAAAAGCUGCGAUCAAGAAGAUGGACAUGGAGGCAUCGAAGCAGUUCUUGGCGGAACUAAAAGUCUUAACACAUGUACAUCAUGUCAACCUGGUUCGCCUGAUUGGAUAUUGUGUUGAGGGGUCUCUGUUCUUGGUCUAUGAAUAUGUUGAGA